AACCCAGGAUUUGGCAUAUGUUCAACAGCAAUUAAUUUCAUUUCUUCCCCCAAAUAGGCCUAUGUGUGACUAGAGAUGGUGGGAGUAUAAGAAAAAGGACAACUCAUUAUUGAUGUUUCAGAUGCCGUCAUGUUAUGGAUGACACUGGCAGGGACCCCAAGGGAUGAGACCUAUCUCUGCUGGAGAACGUUGGGCAUCUUAAUAGAUAAGAUAAUGAAGCGAAGCCUUAACAGCAAACACUCAUUAAACUUUAACGAUUUCUAUCUACCCUCGUCCCACAAGCAGCUUCCACACAUGCCUCUGCGCAGCUGUGGCCUCAGGACUGAGGCGCAGUGUAGACCGUGUUCAUCGGAACGGCGUUGGAUGACUUUAUUGACCAACUCGGCUCAGCUUUUCUAAGGGGAAAAGCUCUGUUCGUACCAAAGGCUUCUCCAGGCCCUUCCCCAACACCUCUGAUUAAACAGGCUGAGCUCCCCAGAGAACAAUCCGCACCAGGAUGCAGCGAAGCCCAGCAGUGGUCUUUCCUGAUGCUCUGGUCCUCCUCGCCCUGCCCGCUGACGGAUGACUCCGCUCCGUGACUUUACUGAACUCCAGUUCGCCCACCUCCCCACACUCGUGUCCUCAGCUGUAAGCAGGCGCACUUGUGACCUGGGAGAGAACCCAAACCAACACCGACCCUGACCCCUGACAGGAGUGUUAGACUCGCAGCAGAGUCAGAUGGGAGCUGCAGGGCAAGGCUCCCCUUACAUGUGGUCUGAACCCAGGGGAGUUCACCUCGCUGAGUUAAACUCGAUGCGCUGUGACUGCCGGGCCAUGGUGCUUCGUAUCUGACUCCCAAGGGACUCUUCCUCAAGUGACUGCAAGCUCCUUGGGCACUUUUCUAUUUUGGCAUCCCCUGGGAUCAUGCAGAGCACAGAGGGAUGCUCAGGCAGAAAGCACCUUGUGUCUCUGUGUCACCUUUUGGUUAAAAGGACUUUAAAAGUCAUGUUCUGGGAUGGCCUGCUUUGUACCUACCAGAGAGCAGGGUUUGCAGAGUCAGGCAACUUUAGGGGUCUGCUUACACUCUAACCUGAUCAGGGACCUGGUUGCUAAGCGACCUUUCAAUGGAGAUUAGUGAUAACAAACUCAGCAAAGAGCUGAGGCUUGAGAAAGGAAUUCAGGUGAUGAAAAUUCUCCUGCUGAUUCAGAAAAAGGCAGUCGCAAGUUUUGAACCUCCUGGAAACCUCAUACCGCUGUCUAAUUUUCUCUCUCUCUGCAAGGCAGCAGGGAUGAGGCAAAGAAACCCAGAAAAAAAGUGAAUUCUUCUUUUGAGAAGUUGUAAGGGGUCAGGAGGCGGUCCUUAAUUAAAUAUCAGAGAUCAAGCCUGGAGAAAAUCAGCUGACCAGGACUCUCGGAAAAUCUGACCAGAUUUGGCCAACACCUGAGAAGGUUAAAAGAUUCAGAGCCAACGAAUUGCACUCCUUAAGGAGGACCGAGAUUAAGUAAAUAAAGGGUGGAGUUCCCGUCGUGGCGCAGUGGUUAGUGAAUCCGACUAGGGACCAUGAGGUUGCGGGUUCGAUCCCUGGCCUUGCUCAGCGGGUUAAGGAUCCAGCAGUGCUGUGAGCUGUGGAGUAGGUUGCAGACACGGCUCGGAUCCCGAAUUGCUGUGGCUGUGGCGUAGGCCAGCGGCUACAGCUCCAAUUCGACCCCUAAUCUAGGAAUCUUGCUGAGGGAAGUGGCCCUAGAAAAGGCAAAAACACAAAUAAAAUAAAUAAAUGGUGACAGUACUAGCAAUGAAGACACUGGUUUAUGCUUAGUAUUUGCAUUUCUUUGGGUCUAACUCCAACUACAGAUCCUUUUUUUUUUUUGCUUUUUAGGGCCUCACUCUCAGUUCCCAGGCUAGGGGUUGAAUCAGAGCUUACAGCUGCCAGCCUGCGCCACAGCCACAGCAACUCUGGAUCCUUCACGCACUGAGCGAGGCCAGGGAUCAAACCUGCAUCCUCACGGAUACUAGUCAGAUUCAUUUCCGCUGCGCCACAGUGGGAACGCCCCAGAUCCUAUUUGUAAUGAAUACGCUUUAUUCUUUGUUCUUGGUUAUUUUAAUAAAAAGCUCUUUUAAUUUAUGUCAAGUACACCUAUGCCACUCGAAAAGCAUGCUGCAGUUACUAAUGCCUUUGGGCAACUAAGCAAUUCAAACCCAGCUGACUCUUUGGUGUAGUGUGUUCUAAGCAUGGGGAAGGAAUCUCAAAGGGCAGAAAUUCUCUCUAGGGCACUCGUGAUGUGAAUCUAUAAAGUUCUUAUAAUUAUC
rnacentral:lncRNA from 1 species